AUUGAACGCUGGCGGCAGGCCUAACACAUGCAAGUCGAGCGGAUGAAGGGAGCUUGCUCCUGGAUUCAGCGGCGGACGGGUGAGUAAUGCCCAGGAAUCUGCCUGGUAGUGGGGGAUAACGUCCGGAAACGGGCGCUAAUACCGCAUACGUCCUGAGGGAGAAAGUGGGGGAUCUUCGGACCUCACGCUAUCAGAUGAGCCUAGGUCGGAUUAGCUAGUUGGUGGGGUAAAGGCCUACCAAGGCGACGAUCCGUAACUGGUCUGAGAGGAUGAUCAGUCACACUGGAACUGAGACACGGUCCAGACUCCUACGGGAGGCAGCAGUGGGGAAUAUUGGACAAUGGGCGAAAGCCUGAUCCAGCAAUGCCGCGUGUGUGAAGAAGGUCUUCGGAUUGUAAAGCACUUUAAGUUGGGAGGAAGGGAAGUAAGUUAAUACCUUGCUGUUUUGACGUUACCAACAGAAUAAGCACCGGCUAACUUCGUG
rnacentral:rRNA from 1 species